UCUUGUUCUCACUAGAGAAUAAUUUCUACAUUAUGCCCAGGUUCUUCUGAGCUAUGAAGGGGCCCAGAUUUAAGGGCUGUUCUUGACACCCUAAAUGUGCUAGGACAAGUCAUUAAGGUGGUCCUGCCAGGACACAGCCAUCUAAAGCAGCAAUCUGCUUCUUGCCAGAAAAUCUCAUGCCUCUGCAGAGCCUUUUCCAGAAUGAACCACACCAUGCUGAGGAAACGAGAGAGACCACCUACUGCAUUUCUGUUACUCGCUGAAAAGGACAGUCUGUCAGAGAAUCUUCUAGCAAACUUCAAAGGGCAAAAUCACCCCUUGUUACGGAUAAAGCCCAGAGAACUUCAGCAGCUAACAUUCCCUAGACAGGACACAGCAAGGAUUUGAACCUAGGCCAGGCUGGCCAGAACACCCAAAAGCUUUCCUUAACUCAGUGUGCUAUCUCCCCAUGACUAGGUCACUACUGCUUUAUAAUCACCUUUGUAGCCACCAGUGGAUUUUGCUCAUCAGUAUUUUUCAGGUAAUUGAUAGUUUAGAUGUUCAGCUGCAAGAUGUAUGCAGUUUUCAUUGACAUCUUUUGGAGAAACUGACAAACCUGGACUUGACUUAAUGACUUUGGAACCUUCCAAGAUGUUAUAUAACUCUAGAUAGAAGGCUGGGCUUCCACAAUGUCAGGAAUGUUGCAUUCUUAUUUCCCCAUAGAUAAACCCAUUUGUCCACAAAGUCAAGGAGUCAGGCAGAGGCCCUUGCCAUGGGGCUUUUUAGGAUAGAGUAACAAGCUUGGACUUUGCUCUAUGACAGGGUUUUGCAUUGGGAGUGGUAUGACCAGAUCCCUCAAGAAAGAAAGGUUAGAGACCAGGCCAGAGUCCACUGCAGUAGCCCAGUCAAGAGAGGCUGGUGACUUGGACUUUUAGUAGAGCCAGUUAGAAUGAAAGAAAUUGACACAUUCAGAAAUGGUUUUAGAGGUAGAGUCAAACUGGACCUGAUAAAGAACUAGAGAAGCAGAGUGAGGAUAAAGAGAAGAGCCAUGACUGACUCGGAAGAUUUUGUCUUGAAAAACUUGAGAACUCAAGACAGAGUGAAAUAAAAUCACAUGUGGGAAAAA